rnacentral:rRNA from 1 species
GACAGAGGGUGCAAACGUUGUUCGGAAUUACUGGGCGUAAAGCGCGUGUAGGCGGCUUGGCAAGUCGGGUGUGAAAGCCCUGGGCUCAACUCAGGAAGUGCACUCGAAACUGCUUCGCUCGAGUAUCGGAGAGGAAAGCGGAAUUCUCGGUGUAGAGGUGAAAUUCGUAGAUAUCGAGAGGAACACCGGUGGUGAAGGCGGCUUUCUGGACGAUUACUGACGCUGAGACGCGAAAGCGUGGGGAGCAAACAGG